GUGGGGAAUAUUGGGCAAUGGGCGAAAGCCUGACCCAGCAACGCCGCGUGAAGGAAGAAGGCUUUCGGGUUGUAAACUUCUUUUACCAGGGACGAAAAAAAUGACGGUACCUGGAGAAUAAGCAACGGCUAACUACGUGCCAGCAGCCGCGGUAAUACGUAGGUGGCAAGCGUUGUCCGGAUUUACUGGGUGUAAAGGGCGCGUAGGCGGGAGAGCAAGUCAGGAGUGAAAUCUAUGGGCUUAACCCAUAAAUUGCUUUUGAAACUGUUUUUCUUGAGUGAUGGAGAGGCAAGCGGAAUUCCUAGUGUAGCGGUGAAAUGCGUAGAUAUUAGGAGGAACACCAGUGGCGAAGGCGGCUUGCUGGACAUUAACUGACGCUGAUGCGCGAAAGCGUGGGGAGCAAACAGGAUUAGAAACCCCUGUAGUCC
rnacentral:rRNA from 1 species